rnacentral:lncRNA from 1 species
AAGCGAACAGGCCCAUAGAUACAUUAUGUGUCUCAUGUACUUCAUGAAGCAUUGUCAAUUCACAAAUUGUCAACGUCAUGGCAUAUUGGCAUAGUGUCUAUGAUAUAUCAGAAGUACAGUUUAGGCACUUCAUUUUGACUAUUUCCACUAUGAAAUCUGAUCUUACGAACACUUUGUUUCCAAUCGUACACAUAUAUAUGCAAUGAUAUGGACAGGAUCUCUUCAGGGCAACAAUAUCAGACCGGCAUUGUUAUAUACAACUAUUCUCUCUUCCAACUAACGCUAUCUUUAAGGAAAUCUUGCCAAUAUUUUUAACUCGUUGACUCAUCAAUGGAUGAAAUUUUGUACUUCAUGUGCAUCGGUCGACGAUCCAAUUGAUGUGCAAGUUCAUAUAGAUAACUGAUGUCAAAACAUGAAGAAUACAGACAGGUGUCGAGCCAGUCCCUCUCGAGCGCAAGAAAAAGAGAAAAAUGAAGCUGCUAGCUAGAAAGUAGAAACUACUACCAAUCUUAUCUCUGGCUGUGGUGUUGACUCGUUGAUAAGUCCUCAUAUGGAACAUUACUGUGCCUGCUAUUUGACCUUAUUUUCAUAAGGUUUUCCCCAUUCGGUAUUCUUGUUGCUAUAUACUCCCUCCG